rnacentral:tRNA from 2 species
GCUCCGGUGGUGUAGGCCGGUCAAACAUGCAGGCCUCUCGAGCCUGCGCCCCGGGUUCAAAUCCCGGCCGGAGCACCA